AUGAAGUUUCCUUCUCAACUUCUGCUCUUCCUGCUGUUCAGAAUCACAGGCAUAAUAUGUGACAUCCAGAUGACACAAUCUUCAUCCUACUUGUCUGUAUCUCUAGGAGGCAGAGUCACCAUUACUUGCAAGGCAAGUGACCACAUUAAUAAUUGGUUAGCCUGGUAUCAGCAGAAACCAGGAAAUGCUCCUAGGCUCUUAAUAUCUGGUGCAACCAGUUUGGAAACUGGGGUUCCUUCAAGAUUCAGUGGCAGUGGAUCUGGAAAGGAUUACACUCUCAGCAUUACCAGUCUUCAGACUGAAGAUGUUGCUACUUAUUACUGUCAACAGUAUUGGAGUACUCCUCC